rnacentral:rRNA from 1 species
UACGUAGGUGGCGAGCGUUAUCCGGAUUUACUGGGUGUAAAGGGCGCGUAGGCGGGCUAUCAAGUCAGAUGUGAAAUCCCUCGGCUUAACUGAGGACCUGCAUUUGAAACUGGUAGUCUUGAGUAUCGGAGAGGCAGGCGGAAUUCCGUGUGUAGCGGUGAAAUGCGUAGAUAUACGGAGGAACACCAGUGGCGAAGGCGGCCUGCUGGACGACAACUGACGCUGAGGCGCGAGAGCGUGGGGAG